ACACAGGUGGUCGGGUAGAGAAUACCAAGGCGCUUGAGAGAACUCGGGUGAAGGAACUAGGCAAAAUGGUACCGUAACUUCGGGAGAAGGUACGCUCUCGACGGUGAAGUCCCUCGCGGAUGGAGCUGACGAGAGUCGCAGAUACCAGGUGGCUGCAACUGUUUAUUAAAAACACAGCACUGUGCAAAAUCGUAAGAUGACGUAUACGGUGUGACGCCUGCCCGGUGCCGGAAGGUUAAUUG
rnacentral:rRNA from 1 species